rnacentral:rRNA from 1 species
CCUGUUUAACAAAAACAUGUCUUUAUGAUUAUGAUUUAAAGUCUAGCCUGCUCAAUGAGCAUUUAAAUUGCUGCGGUAUUUUGACCGUACAAAGGUAGCAUAAUAAUUAGUUUUUUUAUUGGGAACUGGAAUGAAUGGUUGGACGAGGGUUUAACUGUCUUUACUUUAAUAUUAAAACUUUAUUUUUAAGUUAAAAAGCUUAAAUUUUUUAAUGGGACGAGAAGACCCUAUAGAUUUUUAUAAUUUAAUUGAUUUAUUUUUAUAGGAAUUUAAUUUUAAUUGAUUUUAUUAUUUGGUUGGGGUGAUUAUUAAAUUUAUUUAACUUUUAUUUUAUUUUAACAUAAAUAAGUGAUUUUUUGAUCCAUUGGUUUGAUUUUAAGUUUAAAUUACCUUAGGGAUAACAGCGUUAUUUUCCUUGGAAGUUCUUAUUUGUAGGAAAGUUUGCGACCUCGAUGUUGGAUUAA